rnacentral:rRNA from 1 species
CCUUGUACACACCGCCCGUCACACCAUGGGAGUUAGGUUUUACCUGAAGGCGGUGCGCUAACCCGCAAGGGAGGCAGCCGACCACGGUAGGGUCAGCGACUGGGGUG